UUCUUGGCAGCUUGCUGCCGGGGUGAGAGUGGCGAACGGGUGAGUAAUGCGUGACCGACCUGCCCCAUGCACCGGAAUAGCUCCUGGAAACGGGUGGUAAUGCCGGAUGUUCCACAUGAGCGCAUGCGAGUGUGGGAAAGGCUUUUGCGGCAUGGGAUGGGGUCGCGUCCUAUCAGCUUGUUGGUGGGGUAACGGCCUACCAAGGCGUUGACGGGUAGCCGGCCUGAGAGGGCGACCGGCCACAUUGGGACUGAGAUACGGCCCAGACUCCUACGGGAGGCAGCAGUGGGGAAUAUUGCACAAUGGGCGCAAGCCUGAUGCAGCGACGCCGCGUGCGGGAUGGAGGCCUUCGGGUUGUAAACCGCUUUUGUUCAAGGGCAAGGCACGGUUUCGGCCGUGUUGAGUGGAUUGUUCGAAUAAGCACCGGCUAACUACGUGCCAGCAGCCGCGGUAAUACGUAGGGUGCAAGCGUUAUCCGGAUUUAUUGGGCGUAAAGGGCUCGUANGCGGUUCGUCGCGUCCGGUGUGAAAGUCCAUCGCUUAACGGUGGAUCCGCGCCGG
rnacentral:rRNA from 1 species